UACGGGGGGGGCAAGCGUUGUUCGGAAUUACUGGGCGUAAAGGGCUCGUAGGCGGCCAACUAAGUCAGACGUGAAAUCCCUCGGCUUAACCGGGGAACUGCGCCUGAUACUGGUUGGCUUGAGUUUGGGAGAGGGACGCGGAAUUCCAGGUGUAGCGGUGAAAUGCGUAGAUAUCUGGAGGAACACCGGUGGCGAAGGCGGCGUCCUGGACCAAUACUGACACUGAGGAGCGAAAGCCAGGGGAGCAAACGGG
rnacentral:rRNA from 1 species